rnacentral:lncRNA from 1 species
CAAAUAGUUCAAACAGAUUAUCGAGCUUUCUGUUUAGAACCGUCUUAGUGUUUCUAGCACAAAUUAAUCGGGGUGGAGUGUCUAAUUGCUGGUAACUGAAUCUGUUAUGGCUCUGCGUGCCAGGCUGGCAGCUCCUGUUACCAGAUUCCUGCUUCUCAGAGGCAGCCUUUGCAGGGAGAGAACCGUGAUUCUGCAGUGGGACCAGUGCUGUAACUGGUGAGGCUGCCCCAGGCCUCUGCCUGAACUGGCCUUGCUCUCAGUGUGACAUAGCAGCUUGGGGCAGCAGAGGAGGUCUGGCUGCUAGCUGACGAGCUGCUGCUGUCCUUUUGGCUUGGGAUGACCCAAAUCUGCUCCUAAAACCUGAUGGACAGGAGCUUGCUGGGGCAUGGGGGAAGCUCCGUGGGGUUGGACCUGACUUUAUUACUGUGGUUUCCCAGGCUGCUGUUGGGGACCAAUGUUUUCUCUGUCGGAGUGAAAGCAUGCCUGACAGAGGGAGUUGUUUCAGACCUAAACAAUGUCUGUGUUUAAACAUUUGUUUUUAAUUAGGCCUCUGCUCUAUGGCCAAUUACAAAGCCUGAAACCACUGGGCAUCACCAGAGCCAUCCCUUGUCAAAGCCACCAUACUUGCUGCUUCUCAUUCUCUGGCGGGAGGUGUUCACACAGGCAGGCCCCAUCUGCUCACCCCUUUGUUGCCUCUUACAGCCAUCCUGCAGCUCUCCUCCCUUCUCCUGCUGACCCUUAAGCUAUUUUCAGUAAACCUCUUUCCAUUCCCUGUGGGGGCAUUCUGUAAUUAAGGAGGCAGCGAUAACAUCUAGAGAUUAUUUACUGAUGUCCUUUAAAAAGGAAGCUCUGAGCCUGUCCCCUCUUCUCCCCUCCUUGCCUUAAGCAGAGCUUAGUGUGGAACCUGGAACUAUGCUGAUAUGUGUGCAGAGCCCUGCACUAUGGCAACCAGAGCAGGAGGGAGGAGGGCCCCAAGAUGGCUGCCUGGGCCUCAGGUGUUGAUCCAGCAUGGAUAGAAGGUCCCAUGGUGUCGUGUUUGUACGCUGUGUCCUGCCACCAGUGGAUCCCAGUUCCCACAGUGCUGGCUCAAACCAAUGGGCUGAACCCAGGUGAAGGAGCCACUCAACUCCAGCUGCAGUCAAGUGCUUUUGCCUCUUCCAUAAAACCAAGUCACAGCAGUUCAACCUUCCCAUGGGAUUGGUCAUUGUUUCAAAGAGCUUGCCCAUUUCUGAGAAGGUGUCAAGUAGUCUUUUCUAAUUGCAAAUGUAAAAAAUAGAAAUCCUCUUUUCCUCCUCUAAAGACAAAGCGCAGAACUCAUAAAAAUUGCUAUUAUUUAUUUAAGACAUGUUGCCUUUUAAAAUUAAAACAAAUGCAGAGAAGUGGUAAAGUUUUUUAAUAUUGUCUUGAAAUGGUAUAGGCCUUACUGAAAUCAAAAAUAAUCUCCUGUUGUGGCAGGAGAGGCUGAUGGGGUGGAUUUCGCUAACACUGGAGGCGUAUGUGACAACAGACUGGCUCCAAGCAGCUCUUUGUUCCUGUCACACAGAGAUGGGCAGCUGGAGCUCAGGCUCCAGAAGAAAGAGGAGGAAGCUUCACCUCAAGGACCCCAGGGUUUGGGGGGACCCUGUCUUGGCUUG